CCUACGGGAGGCUGCAGUGAGGAAUAUUGGUCAAUGGCCGGAAGGCUGAACCAGCCAUGCCGCGUGAAGGUCAGUGCCCUAUGGGCGUUAAACUUCUUUUGUUCGGGAGCAAUAAUGGUCCCGUGUGGCCAGACGAGAGUACCGUACGAAUAAGCAUCGGCUCACUCCGUGCCAGCAGCCGCGGGAAUACGGGGGGUGCAAGCGUUAUCCGGAUUUAUUGGGUUUAAAGGGGGCGUGUGCGGCUUGUUAAGUCAGCGGGAAAAGCCCGGGGCUCAACCCCGGCGAGCCGUUGAAACUGGCGGGCUGGAGUGGGGGAGAAGUACGCGGAAUGCGCGGUGUAGCGGUGAAAUGCUUAGAUAUCGCGCAGAACCCCGAUUGCGAAGGCAGCGUACCGG
rnacentral:rRNA from 1 species